UACGUAGGGUGCAAGCGUUGUCCGGAAUUAUUGGGCGUAAAGAGCUCGUAGGCGGUUUGUUGCGUCGGCUGUGAAAUCCCGAGGCUCAACCUCGGGUCUGCAGUCGAUACGAGCAAACUAGAGUGUUGCAGGGGAGACUGGAAUUCCUGGUGUAGCGGUGAAAUGCGCAGAUAUCAGGAGGAACACCGAUGGCGAAGGCAGAUCUCUGGCCGUAACUGACGCUGAGGAGCGAAAGCAUGGGGAGCGAACAGG
rnacentral:rRNA from 1 species